UACAAUGGUCGGUACAAAGAAGCAGCCAGACCGCGAGGUGGAGCAAAUCUCAAAAACCGAAUCCCAGUUCGGAUUGUAGGCUGCAACUCGCCUACAUGAAGUUGGAGUUGCUAGUAAUCGCGAAUCAGAAUGUCGCGGUGAAUGCGUUCCCGGGUCUUGUACACACCGCCCGUCACACCACGGAAGUUGGGGGUGCCCAAAGUUGGCAGGAAAAUAUGUUACCUAAGGCAAAACCGAUGACUGGGGUGAAGUCGUAACAAGGUAAC
rnacentral:rRNA from 1 species